rnacentral:sRNA from 1 species
AAACGAUGCUGUUAAUCAAAAUGCAGAGGCUUUAGCUAAAGCUUGGAGUGAAUACAAUAAUCCCAGGGCUGUGAUUAUGAUUAUUGUUCAAGUUGAAGAACGAAACAUGUACGAUCAGCAUUUUGUUUCUGUACUUCUCAGAGAAAAACACAAUAUUACAAGUAUAAGGAAAACAUUGGGAGAAGUUGAUGAAGAAGGCGAAAUUUUAC